ACACCCUCAAGCUCUGCUUGGUGUUGGGCGUCUGUCCUGCCUUCGAGCAUGGACUCGCCUCAAAGCUAUCGGCAGCUUCUCGUGCCAGCCCGCAGCGCAGCAGAAUUAGCGCUCUGGUGGGUAGACGGCUGGGAAGCAUCCGGCAAGAUGUACUUCUUAG
rnacentral:misc_RNA from 1 species